GAUGAACGCUGGCGGCGUGCUUAACACAUGCAAGUCGAACGGUGAACACGGAGCUUGCUCUGUGGGAUCAGUGGCGAACGGGUGAGUAACACGUGAGCACCCUGCCCCUGACUCUGGGAUAAGCGCUGGCAACGGCGUCUAAUACUGGAUAUGUGACGUGACCGCAUGGUCUGCGUUUGGAAAGAUUUUUCGGUUGGGGAUUGGCUCGCGUCCUAUCAGCUUGUUGGUGAGGUCAUGGCUCACCAAGGCGUCGACGGGUAGCCGGCCUGAGAGGGUGACCGGCCACACUGGGAUUGAGACACGGCCCAGACUCCUACGGGAGGCAGCAGUGGGGAAUAUUGCACAAUGGGCGAAAGCCUGAUGCAGCAACGCCGCGUGAGGGAUGACGGACUUCGGGUUGUAAACCUUUUUUAGCAGGGAAGAAGCGAAAGUGACGGUACCUGCAGAAAAAGCGCCGGCUAACUACGUG
rnacentral:rRNA from 1 species